UACGGAGGAUCCAAGCGUUAUCCGGAAUCAUUGGGUUUAAAGGGUCCGUAGGCGGUUUUGUAAGUCAGUUGGUGAAAGCCCAUCGCUCAACGGUGGAACGGCCAUUGAUACUGCAAGACUUGAAUUAUUAGGAAGUAACUAGAAUGAUGUAGUGUAGCGGUGAAAUGCUUAGAGAUUACAUGGAAUACCAAUUGCGAAGGCAGGUUACUACUAGUGGAUUGACGCUGAUGGACGAAAGCGUGGGGAGCGAACGGG
rnacentral:rRNA from 1 species